CAGGGGCAAUGAGAGGCCCUCGACCGGCUGGAGAUGCACCAGUCUCGGCCGGCCAUGUCGACAAAGCAACACCACCAGCACAUCGGCAGAGGAUGAAGACGGCUGGAUCUCCUUCACGGCGUCCGCGUCGAGCUUGCUGGCCACGAAAAUGAAGAGGAGGUCCCCCAACUCCUGUCCCGGCACAUCCAAGGACAGGCCGCGCGCCGGAGCUGCUGCAGCUGGGCGUCUGGACAGCGACAAGGGCGCGCAAGGUGACGCCGUCCUGGACAUGGCCGACCUGGAGGAGGAGCUGUCCCAGAUCGAUCCAUACACCACGAUGCCCGCCCACACACCUAAAGGUCAUCAUCUUCGAGUUCCUCGAGGUCUGAAGAGGAGCUGGCUUGCUGGAAGGAGGAUGUGCCCCAGUUCGAUCUGAAUUCAGAAACAAUUCAUCACCAACCAGCCCUAGGCAGAGGCAAACCAUUCGACCCCUUGUGUCGUCCGUUUCGGCUCCGUCCGUGCCGUUGUAGUGGAUGUCGGUCAAUGGCACCUUUGGAGAAGGCUCUGGAAAGCUUUUGUGGCCAGUUGCACCAUAUGUCUGAUGAGUUCUGCAGCGGCGCAUGUGGCAUCCUUGCUAUUUACUUUGGCUUGAGAAGCAAAAUAGGCGUCAGUUUUGUUUCAUGAAUUGUGGUCUGGAUGUGCAAGUAAAGCAGGUCAUGGUAACACUUCUCAGUUGUUGAAGAGGACAUCCAGGUUAGCAGAGAAGCUGGCAGACCUGUAGCAGCAGAAGCCUGGUGCACCAUUUUCACCUGUUGGAAGCUGG